rnacentral:rRNA from 1 species
AUUGAACGCUGGCGGCAGGCCUAACACAUGCAAGUCGAACGAGUGGCGGACGGGUGCGUAAUGUCUGGGAAACUGCCUGAUGGAGGGGGUUAACUACUGGAAACGGUAGCUAAUACCGCAUCCCAUCAGAUGUGCCCCGAUGGGAUUAGCUAGUUGGUGGGGUAACGGCUGACAAAGGCGACGAUCCCUAGCUGGUCUGCGAGGAUGACCAGCCACACUGGAACUGCGACACGGUCCAGACGCAUACGGGAGGCAGCGGUGGGGAAUAUAGAACAAUGGGCGAAAGCCUGAUGCAGCCAUGCCGCGUGUAUGAAGAAGGCCUUCGGAUUGUAAAGUACUUUCAGCGGGGAGGCGUUACCCGCAGAAGAAGCACCGGCUAACUCCGUGCCAGCAGCCGCGGUAAUAC